AACGAACGCUGGCGGCAUGCCUAACACAUGCAAGUCGAACGAGAUCUUCGGGUCUAGUGGCGCACGGGUGCGUAACGCGUGGGAACCUGCCCUUAGGUUCGGAAUAACUCCCCGAAAGGGGUGCUAAUACCGGAUAAUGUCUUCGGACCAAAGAUUUAUCGCCUUUGGAUGGGCCCGCGUUGGAUUAGCUAGUUGGUAGGGUAAAAGCCUACAAAGGCGACGAUCCAUAGCUGGUCUGAGAGGAUGAUCAGCCACACUGGGACUGAGACACGGCCCAGACUCCUACGGGAGGCAGCAGUGGGGAAUAUUGGACAAUGGGCGAAAGCCUGAUCCAGCAAUGCCGCGUGAGUGAUGAAGGCCUUAGGGUUGUAAAGCUCUUUUACCCGGGAUGAUAAUGACAGUACCGGGAGAAUAAGCUCCGGCUAACUCCGUG
rnacentral:rRNA from 1 species